CUUGAUUGAAAACAUGUCUUCUUCAAUGUUCUCUUUCCUUAUCUCACUAUGGAAUUGUCAUUAUCUAUUCUUCAACUACUUUUUCAAUACCUAAACCGAUUCUUCUCCAACUUGUCUCCUACCAUAGCCAAAAACUCUCUCUCUCUUUCUCUCUCUGGUUUCUUCCUUCUUCCGGUUAAAACACCUUUUAAUAUUCACUCACUGUUCUCUUCAACUCCUCACUCCUGUUUUUGUGAGAAGGCCAUCAACAACUUGUGUCAAGAGAGUCUGAAUGAAGUGGUGGACAUGUUGAAGAGUUUAUUGACAGAAGAUAGAGAGCACAGCUGAACAUACCCAAAAGGUUUUGUGUGUGUGCAGUUUUGUGCUCUCUGAUCUUCUGCCAAUGUACUCAGUUUCUCACCAACUCUUGUUAGUUUCAUGAUUUCAUAUGAGAAUUGAAUACCCUUUGGUUUGAUUUUCUUGAACAUGCAAAUUUCUCAGGGAGAAGACUCAGGUUAGUGCUUGCUUCUAUACUUUAACAUCUAUACACAUAUAUCUGUGUUUGUGCUGCAACUGUGCCACUGCAUUAAUUCGAAAGCACACGUUAAAGAAGGUAUCAGAAAACACUCAAAAUUUGUCUUUGCUUUCAACAGUUUCUUGCUUCAAUCGAUGGCUGCAUGAUGAUUUGUAGUUUAGUUAACUGUGUUUAUAUAUAAACUAUGAAGUAUUCAUUCAACACAGCUAGCACUGAGAAAGGAAAAGCACAUUUUCACAUUCAGCAGUUGACUUGACUGAGUCAGAUAUGCUUUGUGAGUGGUUACAGUGACUUGGAGUUUAUCUACAUAACUAUAUCUUUUAAUUACAUUGAUAAGAGUUUGAACUUUACAUUAAUCUCUUAACUUGAUCUUAAUAUGUCUCAAAAAAGGUGAAUUAGAUUACCCAG